rnacentral:lncRNA from 1 species
CACCACGGUGACUUGCAAGCAACUCACUAUACUUUGGUGUCGGACUGCCUGUAUUUUUAAUAUAGGUUCAAAAAAUUUUUGGGUACAGUCAAGUACUUAUAAAGUCGGUGUGUGAGUCAAGAUAAGAUUGACCACUCCUGAUUAACUUCAGGAAGAGAAUGUCUCGCUGUGUUUUAAUUUAGUAAAACCUAGGUCUGGGUAAUCCUCGUAAGGAGUCACGAGAUUUGCAAAAUUUUGAGACACAAUAGAGAUGACUUAUAUGAGUGUUGACAGCAUACUCGAAGUUAUCUUGAGCAUUAUUGAUCAAAAAGAUGAAUUAUACGGUAACCAUGGGUCAG